UACGAAGGGGGCUAGCGUUGCUCGGAAUCACUGGGCGUAAAGCGCACGUAGGCGGAUUGCUAAGUCAGGGGUGAAAUCCCUGGAGCUCAACUCCAGAACUGCCUUUGAUACUGGCGACCUUGAGUCCGGGAGAGGUGAGUGGAACUGCGAGUGUAGAGGUGAAAUUCGUAGAUAUUCGCAAGAACACCAGUGGCGAAGGCGGCUCACUGGCCCGGUACUGACGCUGAGGUGCGAA
rnacentral:rRNA from 1 species